ACACACACACACACGAAAAGCAAUGAACCCACUUGGUGAACCCCCUGCCUCAGGGGCUCUUGUUUGCUCAGAGAGAAAGCAUGGAGCCACACUGUGUUCUGAGGAAAAGCUCCUCCCGGAAAGCUGCAGUUGCUGGGUCAAGCUGGAGUCAGAAGCUCCAGGAAGAUGUGUAUCUUAGACCACAUAUCAAAGCACACCAGGCGACUCUUGAACCGUGCAGGAAGAUAGAUCGGCCCUUCCCAUGUGCGGCCUCGUGGGAGAAGGCAUCCAGGGUGAGCUGUAACAGCCAGAAAGCUGAAUGGGAAACAGUUGCCUCUCUGCUCCUCUAUGCUUUCCUCCAUGCUAGCACACAUCUUCCCUGUCCCAAAGCUCGCUUUCUUGAUCCUGGUGAUGUGUGUUUGGAACUCAAGCACAGGAAACCCUCAAAUAUUCUACUAAAACACAGCUAUGACCAGAACCCACAUCGGUAGGAGGACGAGCACUCUAGGGAAAACCCACUACAACACCUUCAUCCCUCAUCCUCGAUGAUUCAAACAUGGAAAUCCCGAAGGGCUCCAUAGUUUGACGACAGCCAGACCUACCGUGCCGUGGUAGAAGACACCAGCUUGCCUUGGGAUGUUCCUUCUGCUGCUUGGGUAGAACCUCCAGCAGCUGCAGGACAGAGAUGCAGCCUGGCUCACAAGGUUUUCAACUCAUCACGGCCAAGAAAGCCACCCUUUCAACCACCUCACAGAUGGAGCCUUUCAGUGCUAAGAGGUGUCUGUUUCUAAGAAUGAUCUAUGGUGAUUGGACCUGACGUAGACCUCUGGAGGCUGACAGGGAAGCCUGAGAAGAAACAGACGUCUCGGGAGGCAGGCUUUAUUGCACAGCUGGUUUAAUUGGGGGCGACAACGGCUGUUGAAACCUUUGCGGAGUGAGGAAGGGCAUGGGCACAUACCUGUAGCUCCUGGUGGUGGCAGCAGAACCACCUGUGUGCUAGCUAACAGGGAGCCGACACAGGUGACAGAAAAGGAGCAGCUCUUCACCACCUUCCCACCAUCCGGUCCGUCGCAGUCUGAAUCAGUAACAGUGGCAACGGAAUGCCAUCCAGCGCAUUGGAGAAAGCGUCCGAGCAGCCCUCACCUUGAUACGGUGUGCAGCUGGAGCAGAAGGAAGAAACCGAAGACGCUAAUGUCACCAAGCAGGGAGGAGGCAAACGGAGGAGAAAGGGCUCAAAACAUAUUCUGUGUAGGUUAUUAGAUCUGGAAGAUGGGCUCUCAAGUCUUAGCCGUGCCCCUGUGUUCAUUCCAGUACAUUCCACCUAGAAGAGUUUUUUGAGGUUUUGUUUGUUUGUUUUUAAUCAUUUCGGAGAAAGACAAAUCAGGGGAAAUCACGCGCUAAGAAUCCAUGAUGCUGACCUCCUAUGGAGUUAAGCUUCCCAGCUAAGGGAGACAAGUUCGUCGACUUCCUUUUUCCAGUAUGAAUGAAGGUGUCACUGCCUUUACAGACUUGUCAGUCCUCUUUUAAGAACUGACCUAGCCUUGGAGAGAACCAAUUCAAGUGUGACAGGCUACAGGGUCAAACGCAGCACUGCUCAGAGGACCUGGGGCAGGGAUCCUGGGGUGAAGCAGCUGCAGAUGUCUACAAACACCCUGUGGUGACAGCGGCUCAGAGGAUGAUGACAGCUCUGCAUGAUGGACUUCAGCCUUCAGAGAAACCCUGGGCUCUAUGAAGAUGCCUUCCACCGCCUUCCAGUACUCUUUCUGACUUGGUUGGGCCACAGCAUGUACUUUAUCUCUUUUUGUCCACUUAUGGGUCGACUGAACUGUUCUCCUGUCAGUGGAAGAAUGCUUGAAGCUCACUUCACGGUCCCUCAUCCAGUAAGGUCCAUCAUUGUCCAGCCGUCCAGAGUCACCUUCACCUCCUUCACCAAAGGCACUCACUUCCUGAUUCCAGAAAGCCGUGUAGUGAAAUGGUUCUGUGCAGGUUUCCAUCCACAUUGGUCUGUGUCGGCUGGAUGGGCUACCUGCCUUUGAUGGGGGUUCCCCUUUCACACACAGCGGCAGUUUUCCCGUAGCCUUUCUCCACAGGGCUUACACCUGUCAGUGACUGUUGCCCACUCUCUGUGAUCUGAGCCUUGCUCUGUUCCAUGUAUGUCCUCUUGGUGACUCCUCCUCUUGGUGGUUCCUCCAUAUCAGGAGAGUGUUCUUAAUGUGGCAUUGCCUACAUGUGCCUGGUUCUGGGAGGAGACAGACUCUCGGUGAAAAUCCAGGAAAACACGUAAGUGAAAUUUAAGGAAAGAGUUAGGCUUGGACAAAGGUGAUGCGGGUUCAGUAAUCAAUGGGUGAUUAUCACCUGAAAACCAUGUAUGUAUUCGAGGUACCCCAAACAGUGAGGUGAGCCUCAAACAUUUUUCCACCUUCCUGUCUUCAUAGGAGAACAAUAUGGUCAACCCAUAAGUGGACAAGGCUGAAAUCAGAGCUGUUUAUAAAA
rnacentral:sRNA from 1 species